rnacentral:rRNA from 1 species
UAAUACGGAGGGUGCAAGCGUUAUCCGGAUUCACUGGGUUUAAAGGGUGCGUAGGUGGGCAGGUAAGUCAGUGGUGAAAUCUCCGGGCUUAACCCGGAAACUGCCAUUGAUACUAUUUGUCUUGAAUAUCGUGGAGGUCAGCGGAAUAUGUCAUGUAGCGGUGAAAUGCUUAGAUAUGACAUAGAACACCAAUUGCGAAGGCAGCUGGCUACACGAAUAUUGACACUGAUGCACGAAAGCGUGGGGAUCAAACAGGAUUAGAUACCCUGGUAGUCCACGCCCUAAACGAUGGAUACUCGACAUACGCGAUAUACUGUGUGUGUCUGAGCGAAAGCAUUAAGUAUCCCACCUGGGAAGUACGAUCGCAAGAUU